GUGUUCAUUUCAGCAGCACAUAAACUAAAAUUAGAAUGAUACAGAGAUUAGCAUGACCCCUGCGCACGGAUUACACACAAAUUUGUGAAGCAUUCCAUAUUUAA
ensembl:snRNA U6 U6 spliceosomal RNA